rnacentral:rRNA from 1 species
CGUGACCUCAGGUCAGGCAGGAUCACCCGCUGAGUUUAAGCAUAUCAAUAAGUGGAGGAAAAGAAACUUACCAGGAUUCCCCUAGUAACGGUGAACGAAUCGAGAAGAGCCCAGCUUAAGAAUCGAGUGCCCCCGAUGAUCGAAUUGUAGUCUGAAAAAGUAUCCUUAACGGCAGACCGGGCCCAAGUCCCCUGGAAAGGGGCAUUGGAGAGGUGAGAGCCCCGUUGUGCCCAGACCCUAUCACACCACGAGGCGUUGUUCGCGAGUCGAGUUGUUUGGGAAUGCAGCCCCAAUCGGGCGGUAAAUUCCAUCCAAGGCUGAAUAUGGGUGAGAGAUCGAUAGCAAACAAGUACCGUGAGGGAAAGAUAAAAAGGACUUUGAAAAGAGAGUCAAAGAGUGCUUGAAAUUAUCAGAAAGAAAGUAGAUGGGGGCCGACGGUGCUCCCCGAUCGGAUAUGGAAUGGCCAGAGCUGAUCCGCCAAUUGGUUCAGGGUGUGGAUCUACGUGGGUCACGACGGCGGCCUUAGCCCGAGCUUCGAUGUGCCCGCGAAGACAUCAUCACCAUUACGAUCGAGGAAUGCAGCAUGCGUCAUCUUGAUGUGCCUCAACACCCACGUGCUCCUAGUUUCGGCCUGUGGGCUCCUCAUCUGGCCCGUCUUGAAACACGGACCAAUGAGUCUGACAUGUGUGUGAGUCAACGGGCCAGAAAACCUAUAAGGCGUAAGGAAGCUGAUUGGCGGGAUCCUUCACGGGUGCACUACCGAUCGAUCUUGAUCUUCUAAGAAGUGUUCGAGUGCGAGCAUGCCCGUCGGGACUCGAAAGAUGGUGAACUAUGCCUGAGUAGGGCAAACCUAGAGUAAACUCUGGUGGAGGCCCACAGCGAUACUGAUAUGCAAAUCGUUCAUCUAACUUGGGUAUAGGGGUGAAAGACUAAUUGAACUGUCUAGUAGUUGGUUCCUUCUGAAGUUUCCCUUAGGAUAACUAGAGCCCUUGACGAGUUCUAUCGAGUAAAAUCAAUGAUUAGAGGCAUCGAGAGCGCAACGCCCUCGACCUAUUCUCAAACUUUAAAUAGGUAGGACAGCGUAGCUGCUUCGUUGAGCCACGCCACGAAAUUAAGAGCUCUAAGUGGGCCAUUUUUGGUAAACAGAAUUGGCGAUGUGGGAUGAACCAAAAGUCGAGGUUACGAUGCUCAACUGCGCGCUAACCCAGAACCCACAAAGGGUGUUGGUCGAUUAAGACAGCAGGAUGGUGGUCAUGGAAGUCGAUUAACAACUCACCUGCCGAAUCAACUAGCCUCGAAAAUGUAUGGUGCUUAAGCACGUGACCUAUACUCGAUCGUCGGGGCAAGGGCUAGGCCCCGAUGAGUAGGAGGGCAUGACGAUUAUCAUAAAACCUAGGGCGCGAGCCCUAACGGAGUGGCCGUCGGUGUAGAUCUUAGUGGUAGUAGCAAAUAUUCAAAUGAGAACUUUGAAGGCCAAAGAUGAGAAAGGUUUCAUGUGAACGGCACUUGCACAUGGGUUAGUCGAUCCUAAAAAAUAGGGGAAGCCCGUCUGACAGCGCACCCGUGCGAGCUUCGAAAGAGAAUCGAGUUAAAAUUCUUGAAUUGGGACGCAGUGGCUGACGAUAACAUUAGGGAGUCUGAAGAUGUCGACGGAGGCUUGGGAAGAGUUAUCUUUUCUGUUUAACGGCCCAUCCACCCUGGAAACAGCUCAGCUGAAGCUAGGGUCUGCGGUCGAAAGAGCACUGCAUGUUGCAUGGUGUCCGGUGCACUCCCGACAGCCCUUGAAAAUCUGGAAGAUCGAGUGCCGUCCGUGCCCUAUCGUACUCAUAACCGCAUCAGGUCUCCAAGGUGAACAGCCUCUGGUCGAUGGAAUAAUGUAGGCAAGGGAAGUCGGCAAAAUGGAUCCGUAACCUUUAGAAAAGGAUUGGUUAAGAGGGCUGGGCACAGGGGUCCUAGUCUCGAACCCGUCGAUUGUCGGUGCACUGUUCGAGCUACUACCACGAUGAAAAAGUGGUCACCAUGUGCCGGCUGGGGGACGGACUGGGAAUAGCUCCCUCGGAGGGCUUCCCCGAGUGAUAAAUAGUCAACUAUGAAUUGGUACAAACAAGGGGAAUCUGACUGUUUAAUUAAAACAAAGCAUUGUGAUGGUCCCUAUGGAUGCUUACGCAAUGUGAUUUCUGCCCAGGGCUCUGAAUGUCAAAGUGAAGAAAUUCAACCAAGCACGGGUAAACGACAGGAGUAACUAUGACUCUCUUAAGGUAGCAAAAUGCCUCGUCAUCUAAUUAGUGACGCGCAUGAAUGGAUUAACGAGAUUAAAACUGUCCCUAUCUACUAUCCAGUGAAACCACAGCCUAGGGAAUGGGCUUGGUGAAAUCAGUGGAGAAAGAAGACCCGUUGAGCUUGACUCUGGUCUAACUUUGUGAAAUGACUUGAGAGGUGUAGGGUAAGUGGGAGCCCUUGGACGAAAUUGAAAUACCACUACUUUUAACAUUAUUUUACUUAUUCCGUGAAUUAGAGGUAGGGUACGACCCUUCUUUUGGACCCAAGGUCAGCCUUGGUUGGUCGAUCCAGGGGGAAGACAUUGUCAGGUGGAGAGUUUGGCUGGGGUGGCACAUCUGUUAAAAGAUAACGCAGGUGUCCUAAGAUGAGCUCAAUGAGAACAAAAAUCUCGUGUGCAACAAAAGGGUAAAAGCUCAUUUGAUUCUUAUUUCCAGUACGAAUAUGACUCGUGAAAGCGUGGCUGAUCGAUCCUAUAGACCUUUGAGAUUUGAAGCUAGAGGUGUCAGAAAAGUUACCACAAGGAUAACUGGCUUGUGGCAGCCAAGCGUUCAUAGUGACGUUGCUUUUUGAUCCUUCGAUGUCGGCUCUUCCUAUCAUUGUGAAGCAGAAUUCACCAAGUGUUGGAUUGUUCACCCACCAAUAGGGAACAUGAGCUGGGUUUAGACCAUCGUGAGAUAGGUUAUUUUUACCCUAUCGAUGGCAGCGUCGCGAUAAUAAUUCAACCUAGUACGAGAGGAACCGUUGAUUCGCACAAUUGGUCAUCGUGCUUAGGUGAAAGCCAGUGGCAUAAAGCUAUCGUGUGUUGGAUUAUGAAUAAAAUGCUCUAAGUCAAAAUUCAGGCCAGAAGUGACGCGCGGGCCUGCCAUCCGAUUAUCGACCCGCAGUAGGGGCCCAUGGCCCCCAAGGGCACGUGUCGUAAGUGCAACCCCGUAGCGGACAAGCCACGUAGGCCUCUUUGGAGCUCAAUUCCCACUGAGCGGCAGGUAGAAUCCUUUACAGAUGACUUAAAUAUGCGACGGGGUAUUGUAAGUGGCAAAGUGGCCUUGCUGCCACGAUCCACUGAGAUUCAACACUUUGUCGCUUUGAUUCGU